UGGGGAAUCAUGGUCAAUGGGCGAAAGCCUGAACCUGCGACGCCGCGUGAGUGACGAAGGUCUUUGGGUCGUAAAGCUCUGUCCUAGGGGACGAAAAAAAUGACGGUACCCUUGGAGGAAGCCCCGGCUAACUACGUGCCAGCAGCCGCGGUAAUACGUAGGGGGCGAGCGUUAUCCGGAAUUAUUGGGCGUAAAGAGUACGUAGGUGGUCUUUUAAGCGCAGGGUUUAAGGCAAUGGCUUAACCAUUGUUCGCCCUGUGAACUGGGAGACUUGAGUGCAGGAGAGGAAAGCGGAAUUCCUAGUGUAGCGGUGAAAUGCGUAGAUAUUAGGAGGAACACCAGUGGCGAAGGCGGCUUUCUGGACUGUAACUGACACUGAGGUACGAAAGCGUGGGGAGCAAACA
rnacentral:rRNA from 1 species